rnacentral:rRNA from 1 species
UUUGAGAUUUGAGAGGGGCUGCUCCUAGUACGAGAGGACCGGAGUGGACGAACCUCUGGUGUUCCGGUUGUCACGCCAGUGGCAUUGCCGGGUAGCUAUGUUCGGAAAAGAUAACCGCUGAAAGCAUCUAAGCGGGAAACUUGCCUCAAGAUGAGAUCUCACUGGGAACUUGAUUCCCCUGAAGGGCCGUCGAAGACUACGACGUUGAUAGGCUGGGUGUGUAAGCGUUGUGAGGCGUUGAGCUAACCAGUACUAAUUGCCCGUGAGGCUUGACCAUAUAACACCCAAACA